UGGGGAAUAUUGGACAAUGGGGGGAACCCUGAUCCAGCCAUGCCGCGUGUGUGAAGAAGGCCUUAUGGUUGUAAAGCACUUUAAGCGAGGAGGAGGCUCUCUUGGUUAAUACCCAAGAAGAGUGGACGUUACUCGCAGAAUAAGCACCGGCUAACUCUGUGCCAGCAGCCGCGGUAAUACAGAGGGUGCGAGCGUUAAUCGGAUUUACUGGGCGUAAAGCGUGCGUAGGCGGCUUUUUAAGUCGGAUGUGAAAUCCCCGAGCUUAUCUUGGGAAUUGCAUUCGAUACUGAGAAGCUAGAGUAUGGGAGAGGAUGGUAGAAUUCCAGGUGUAGCGGUGAAAUGCGUAGAGAUCUGGAGGAAUACCGAUGGCGAAGGCAGCCAUCUGGCCUAAUACUGACGCUGAGGUACGAAAGCAUGGGGAGCAAACAGG
rnacentral:rRNA from 1 species